rnacentral:rRNA from 1 species
CCUACGGGGGGCUGCAGUGGGGAAUAUUGCACAAUGGGCGCAAGCCUGAUGCAGCCAUGCCGCGUGUGUGAAGAAGGCCUUCGGGUUGUAAAGCACUUUCAGCGGGGAGGAAGGCGGUGAGGUUAACAACCUCAUCGAUUGACGUUACCCGCAGAAGAAGCACCGGCUAACUCCGUGCCAGCAGCCGCGGUAAUACGGAGGGUGCAAGCGUUAAUCGGAAUUACUGGGCGUAAAGCGCACGCAGGCGGUCUGUCAAGUCGGAUGUGAAAUCCCCGGGCUCAACCUGGGAACUGCAUUCGAAACUGGCGGGCUAGAGUCUUGUAGAGGGGGGUAGAAUUCCAGGUGUAGCGGUGAAAUGCGUAGAGAUCUGGAGGAAUACCGGUGGCGAAGGCGGCCCCCUGGACAAAGACUGACGCUCAGGUGCGAAAGCGUGGGGAGCAAACAGGAUUAGAACCCCAGUAGUC